rnacentral:pre_miRNA from 12 species
CAGGGGGAGGGGCCGCAGGAGCUGCCCAAGGCUCUUUCCCUGUUGCCCUGCUGUAUGUCCCUGAGCAGUGCAAUUGUGAAAGGGCAUUGGUCAAGCUUCCCUUGGACCCUGGUGGGG